GUAGGGGGCAAGCGUUAUCCGGAUUUACUGGGCGUAAAGGGUGCGUAGGCGGGUUAUCAAGUCUUUGGUUAAAAUGCGGUGCUCAACGCCGUAGUGCCAAAGAAACUGAUAGUCUAGAGUAUGGUAGAAGUGAGUGGAACUCCAUGUGUAGCGGUAAAAUGCGUAAAUAUAUGGAAGAACACCAGUGGCGAAGGCGGCUCACUAGGCCAAUACUGACGCUGAGACACGAAAGCGUGGGGAGCAAACAGGAUUAGAUACCCUGGUAGUCCACGCCCUAAACGAUGAGUACUAAGUGUAGCCAGAAGGCUGUGCUGAAGUUAACGCAUUAAGUACUCCGCCUGAGUAGU
rnacentral:rRNA from 1 species